UUCUGGGUGCCAGUUUCAGACUUGUCUCUGAAGAGGAGCUGGCAUUUUUUUUGUGUGUGUGCUGUGCUGCCAGUGCUGCUACAGGGAGCUGAGUGGAGAGCUUGGGCAAGCUAGGUAACCAUGACAUGGUCCUGUCACUAGGUCUCCUUAACCAAUCAGAGACUCGUGCACGGACCUGUACAUCUGAUGGAAGGGUUCUUUUGGGAGCCAGGGUUCUGCCUUAGCUCCUCUUCUGAGGAAGUCAGGAGUUGGCCAGUGUGACCUUGACCUUGGACUCUGCUCUGGGUAGAGCAAUUGCAAGCCUGCCAGCUUGGUAAGCAUGAUUUCGGCUUCCGGUUCGGCAGCGGAAAACUACUGGACUCAUCUGUGUUACUUGCUU